AGCGAACGCUGGCGGCAGGCUUAACACAUGCAAGUCGAGCGGGCACUUUCGGGUGUCAGCGGCGGACGGGUGAGUAACGCGUGGGAACGCGCCCUCUGGUUCGGAAUAACUCAGGGAAACUUGAGCUAAUACCGGAUACGCCCUUUUGGGGAAAGGCUUGCUGCCGGAGGAUCGGCCCGCGUCUGAUUAGCUAGUUGGUGAGGUAACGGCUCACCAAGGCGACGAUCAGUAGCUGGUCUGAGAGGAUGAUCAGCCACACUGGGACUGAGACACGGCCCAGACUCCUACGGGAGGCAGCAGUGGGGAAUAUUGGACAAUGGGCGCAAGCCUGAUCCAGCCAUGCCGCGUGAGUGAUGAAGGUCUUAGGGUUGUAAAGCUCUUUUAUCCGGGACGAUAAUGACGGUACCGGAGGAAUAAGCCCCGGCUAACUUCGUG
rnacentral:rRNA from 1 species